rnacentral:snoRNA from 1 species
AACCAUAGUGGGGGCAAGAGCUUGUAGUUCUUUAUAUCUUUUCCAUGCUUAAUAUAAAGUUUCGCUAUCAUUUUGAGUAAAUGAGGAAAUUUGUUUCUUAAGGGC